AGAAUUCUUGGAAUGAAGAGGAAAUCCAGGAUCUGCUGUAUCCAGCUUUUUCAGUACUAGGUAUUAGCAAGGCUACAUACUUCUAUGAUGUUUCACUCCAUAUUUAUUAAAAUAUGAUUAUGAUAUGAAUAUGACAUAACGUAACAUUUAGGGUAAGAAAUUUUAUUUUGUAACCUGUUUCUUAAGUAUAUUGAGCUUAGCUUGCGUACUUUGGUUUAUUUGCUCAGUAAUGUGCUUUGGUCUGUCAAUUCUCUCUUACAUUCACUUAAAAUUCACCUUUUGUCGUUAAUACGUUUAUUAUUUAUAAUAUAACCCAGUAUAUGUAAUUUCUAACUGGAGGGGCAAGAAGUUGUGCAUAUCUCCCUCCACAUUGAGGGAGGGGGUGAAUUUCAUAAAACUUUUGGGUUUGUACCCCUUAAAGGGAGUGGGCACCAGAGCGGAUCUCUGUCUCUCUGUGCAGCUGGGAGUGGCCUUGCCUGUGUGCUUGGCUGGAAGAGGCUUGUGAGCCAAACCCAGCAAGGGCAGGUAAAGGGGACCCAGGCUGGCAGAACAGGCUGACUUAGUGGCAUCUUUGGAGCCUACAGGGUUAGACAGCAGCUGAACUGGAGUUUUGUGGUGCACAGUGGUACCUAAAAAGUAGGAUUUAGGCACCAAAGUAUCUUGGUGGCUAGCACCAACGGACAACAAAUGAAAACCAAUAAUGUAAUAGUUAAUUGACAUCUCUGCAGGCUUUUCCCAAGAAUGUUACCUUCACUGUGACUUGUCACUGACUGGACAUUUUUUUUUUUUUAUGAAUUGCGACACUGCCUGAUUUUCAAACUGUACCAAGUUCAUACUCCAAACAGAGGAGAGUUCAAAAACUGAUCGUUGUGGCAUUUGAACAGCUCUGCUUCUGUUUUCAUCCAGCAGGAAGACUUCAGGGAAAGAAUGUUCCUUUGUCUAAAAUCUUUCUGCCACCUCCAGUGUAUCCAGUUGCUCUUGGAGAUGGACUGAACCAGAUGGCAGGGACGCCAUUCCUGAAAGCCUGAUUGCAAGUAGAACCACCACAUGAAGAAAAGAUGUGUUUGCCCUCAACAGCAAAAGCCUUUUGC